CUUUCCCUUCUAUUACCUCCUUCAAGUCUCCUACUUCCCUCUUCAGCAUAUCAAUCUUGUCCCCAUCUCCCCUUCCCUUUUUUGACAACUCCAAACUGCUGUCUCCAUCCAGAUAUCCAUUUGCAUGCCCAUUUCUCACCUCAGAUGGCCUUAUAGUGGCUGUCGACAGUUUCUCAUUGGUAACUGCAUGUUUCACACAGUGAUCAGCAAUUGCCUUCCUCAGCCUCUGAAUUUCCCUCUCCGACUCAAACAAAUCUCUGUUUGCUGCAUCAAGCUGUGACUGCAAAUUUGUAGAAU
rnacentral:misc_RNA from 1 species